ensembl:lncRNA
ACGCACUCUGUAUAAAUAGAAAACAACACCAAAAGUAUUGAUAAAAGUAGUAAUUCCCUUACUAUCUACAAAUGAAAACAUUUCACUUCCUGUAGUGAAUGAGUAUACAGGAUGAUUAUGAUUUGUUCAAAAUAAAUCAGCCAUUGAUGAAAUCUAUUCAGAUUGGACAAUGUCAGUUGUCAGACCAGAAUAUAACCUUUAUUAUAAGGAAAGCAUAAAUAAAAAAAGUGUCCUGCCUCAACAGUGCACCCUAGAAAGACUGGAUCAAGCUACUGAUCACUACAGAGAGAAGGAAGAUUCCCUUUUACAGAUCAGAAGAGUAAAUGUCAUUUGCUAAGGCCAACAUGCUCAGUGGCUGAAGUGUCCCUCUGUUGCAGAGCUCUGCAGUUAUGUCAGCGAGCAUAGCAAAAUCUGAAAGAAUUUAUUACACUGAACUCAUUCAAUUUUCAGGCUCUAAAAGAAAAAAUAGCACUGAUCACUGAAGAGAGACUAAAAUGUAGUGGCAUUGCAGCACUGUGACCUGAUAAAGAUCUUGUUGCCAUUUCUAGUGAUGAGUCACCUGCACAGCUACCAUGUUCACUAAGCCUCUGGAGAGAAGCUUGUAGGGUUGUGCACUUGGUCUGGACUUGUCCUGGCCUUCCAGGUCUUUAUUUUGCUCUAACAGCAUAUAUAUAUUUUAAACGUACAGCAUAGCUACAAUUUUGUACAGACAGAAGCAACAAGCUGCUGUUCUGUGUAGAAUGAAAUAGCGAUGCUUCUAAUGUAAUGACACAGCAUGGAGAAACACAGGCCUGGUGUAAUGGCUAAAGCCUCGAAUGGGGACAUGGAAUACAGACACAGAACAAUGGGCAGUCAGAUGGAGGUCUUGGAGCACACCAGAAACAUUUUUAGGGCUAAAAAAAAUGUAUCUAGUUGCUCCACGUACAGCAGCUUUGGAGAUCACAUGGACUUAAGGACCAGUGAAGAAGAAGUAAGGUGUAAAACAUGUUAGUAGAUACCCAAAAAAGACCCAAAGUAAUCCCCAGGAUGAGGAGAAAGGAAGCAUCAGCACCAACUUUAUAUUGCUCCUAGUGAAGGGGGUGGCAGCAAGGAACACAUGUAUAAUUAAUUGAACUGUAUUGUUAUUACUGAGCCUUAAUGUAAUGAUGCUCUUGUCCUUACCUUUUUUUUUUUCCAUCCUGUAAUUGUUAAACCUGAACUAACAGUAACAAUAAUUAUACGACUAAGAUUUCGAUUAUCAUCACCAUAAAUUCUUAGUUUUACACAUUAUGUGCAUGUCUUCUUUUUCCCAUAACAGAGUUUUGAGUGUUAGCAAGUACCUUUUAAAACAUAUUACAAGAAGUUCUGACUCUAUACGGAGGUAUCUUCACCAAAUUCAUACUGGUUCAGUCCAGGGUUGUCACCCUCUUUGAAUCAUCACUGUCUUUAAUGGGAGUGCCAUGCUCACGCUGAACUACUGCUGCUUUUUAGGGUGGCAACUAGCACAGAGGUAAUCUGGAUCAUUGAUUUUCCAUGAAUGAAUUACAAGCUCCUGAUCAAUAUCUUCCAUUUCAUCAAGUAUAUGAAAUCUUGAGUGCACACAGAUAUGUUAUAAAUACCCAAGGAGCCACGAGUUUAUUCCUGUUAUCUCAAAGUGAACAGGACCAAGACUUCAAAAAAAUCUCUCCUGUAAACUACAUCAAUGCCAGACUCAGUAAGUUAGGAAGAGCCUCUCAGGGAACAUCAGUGAGCCUGAGGGUGGGGGUAACACCUAUGGGUGGCUUUGAAUCAUCAGAGGGGGAUGUCUUUGAAAUGAGAAUAUUAUUACAGAUUUUUCAAAUAUACUCACUGUAUGAAAGUCAGAGCCAGAUUCUUCCAGUACUUGUAAAGUAGCCCUCUCUUUGACAUAUGUUUUUGAUUUCCUCCUUGUACCUCACGUCUUCUGUCAUGAAAGUUGCCAUUAUGUGUAGUCACCUGUCAUUCUUCUGCUUCACAAUUUCACAAACGAUUAUUGUGCCCGUGAUAUAAGGUGAAAGAAAAUUCAAAUAGAAUUGCAUAAAGCCUUUCUUCAUUUGUAAAAGAAUCUGGGAUUUCAAUGCCACUCACAAAACCUGGAUCUGAAUUGCUGAGUUUGUUUUGACAGAUCCCAGUGGAGGUGACGACUUACCUCUGCCUCCAAGCUCAUCAGACUCACCAGAGACCCCUGAAAAAUACCACUCCUGUUAAGGGCUGACUUUUAGCCAUGUACCCCUGCUGAAAUCAGUAGGAUCCGUAUUCUACUCAAGCUAGUGAGUUGGCCAUAGCUCCACCUGAUACUUGAAAGCCUCUAAUGAUUAAUGGUCCACGCUAUCUCUGAAUAACCUCUACCACCACUGUCUGAAUUAAAUUAUAUAUAUUUUAUGCGUGCAUAUUUAUAUGCGUGAGGAACUUCGAGUGCUUUUUCUUCCCACAGAAGUUGUCAUCGACAUUCUAUCAAAAUGUCCAGACUUUGUCCCCAACACUUCUGGGCAACUGAAAAAAUUAAUCAUUUUAAAACAUAAGAGUGGGGUUUUUUUUAAUAAAAUGUUUUUGAAAAUCGUGUUGUCUUCCCCCUCUGAAAUCCAACCAAGGCUUUCAUUUUUAUCAGUUGGAACUGUUGGGAAUUUUUUCCAUCACAGCAAAGAUAAUGGCAACAUAGUAAAGUCUGGCUUUCCUCGCGUGUUUUGAGAUGUUUCUGUUGAAGAAUACUCACUGAUUCAUUAAUAUAAAUACUUAAUUAUAAGAAAUAUACAUGAAAUACUUACCAAAUAUAAUAAUGCAUUUGAAACAUACGUAUUCCAUUAUGUUCAUGUAAAUAUAUAUUCCAAAAUCCAGGAGAAUUAUUUUAUCCAUGACAAAUUUAAGCAGUUGAAGGCUGUAACAGCUGCAGUACAUCACAAUUCACCUCACAGUGUAUUUUAU